GAAACGACUCCAUAUGUGUGUCUUAUUUGUAAGAACGAAGUAACGGCCAGUGUUGUACAUAUUCAUCCUUUCAAAGUCGCGCUCAUUACUCUUCGCUCGUGACGUCAAAUAUAAAAAAAAACAUUAUUCAUUGAUCUCGAUGCAUGCGAUUAAGUGUUCUUCGGCAAUUAUCAGCAAUCAGACGCAAGAAUUCAUAAAUUUUCUUUAUGAAUUGUGCUUAUCGUGACUUCGCGUCUUUGGACUGACUCAAGUUGAAGUUUCAGUGUUAAAAAAAAAAAAACUUUAUAUUUAUAUAAAAUAAAUGCAAAAAUUACAAAUAUAAAUCUGUACAUUCUACAAUAGCAUUUAAUUGUCGUACAUUCGUUAAUAUCACUGAAUCCAAUUAUUACAUGUGGCUGGAUGUGAAAUGUGUUUUUACUGGACAAAACCCGGCAACAGCGUUUGUUCAUGCCUGUUCUGUGCAUUCUCGAUUCUAGCCUUGAUGGUAUUUCAGUUUUAUGGAUCGGCGAAUCUAACCGCGUAGCAGCAAGUAGAAAUCGCUAAGUUGGCAGAUGACGGCUUUCCAUGCGCAAACAUCCCGCGAGAUAAACGCGGAAGAGCUUGAUGGAAUUUGCGCGUCCGUGAACGCUCUGAUUUGCAUGUAUUUCAUAGUACACGUAAAACAGAUGGAAAGACGUGUUUUGAAAUUAUGAUUUAAAUAACGAAUCGCAAGAGUUAAACGACCGUGACUGCUGAAACGUGACCUCACUAUUUUCGUGAGAUGACUUCGUCGCCAAAAGAACAAGUAUAUUCAAAAAAGAUAAUGCAGAAAAAUGAAUGUGACGAAGGAAGCACAGAGCUUUUUCUACUACAACAGCCAACACCCAUCGAUUUCGUCUAUCCAUCGUCUUCUGGACAAUCUUGUGAUAAUCCUUACGUAACUCAAGCAGCUUAUAACCCAUCUUAUAAACUGGCCUUGAAUGAUAUUGUAGGUUAUAGCAUUAACGAAAAUAACGACGACAGCAAGAUUAACGAGAAAAAUACAUCAGCUGAAGCAAAAGAUACCCGCAUUGAAACCUGUAUAACAUACUGUAUCAUUGGAGUAGUAAUUCUCAUUAUUACUGGCGUAAUUAUUGGAAUUGUGUAUUUCCUAAUACAACAUCCAAAACUCGCACAUGCUCUGCACAAGGCGAUAGAAGCUGAAAAGGAUGACAAGGACGCGUCGUCGCUAAAAAAAGUCACAGCAACCGCAAAUGAAUUAGCAAACAAGACUUCAACUUUUAAAUCAUCCUACGACAAUGACGAACGGAGCUUCUAACUUAAUGUAUACGAAGAUUGACAUUACCAAGAUUUGUCUUCGAUCAUUUGAUAAGUGGGAGUGAUAAUACUGGUAACUGCUGGUAAUAACGUUAAUACAACUGCUCACAGACUGACACGUGCGUGGUGCUUGACAGUGACAACUCAUCAAUAGCACAAAGCUAUAUCAUUGAUAACUAAGAACUGUGUUUUUUUGUUUGGAAAUUGGAGAUUAGAUGCUGUGAUACAAUUUGUUUUAAAUUAAAACUAUCUAAAUUUUGUAUGAGUUUUCUCGCUUAAUAACUAAUUCCAUAUAUAUUUGUGUAUAUUUUAAUAACUGGCAAUGUAUGAAAUAUAUAUGCCUGGCUACAUAAGUUUGCACAUUACAAAGAAUCAGUAACGUUAUCGUCUUUAUAAAAAUCAACAAUA
rnacentral:misc_RNA from 1 species